GUACAAAAAUUAAGAAUUUUUUAAAAUUUAUUUUGUAAAUGAAAUUAUGAUAGAGUUUAACAUAUUUAUAAUUUUCUAGAGCACACAGUUAAAAUGAAAUGGGAUAAAAGUUCCUUUAAUCAAUGGUUAAACCAAAAACUAAAACAAUUAAUAUUACUAUACUGACAGAAUAACUACCAAAAUAGAAACUUAACAUUUGUUUACAAUGGUAGAGUUUGUUAAUUUUGGUUUUGUAAAUACAAAUUGAAUAUAUCAAAUAUAUGUUACUUGCAGCCAUAUUUCCCCCCAAUAUAUAUCACAAGUGAACAUUUAACAGGAUGGAUCAAUACCAAAAGAAAUUAAGAACAUCUAAUUGAACAUUAUUUAAUAACAUAAAAUUGCUUAAUUUAAUCGUUCAAAUAAUUUUAUUGUAUGAAUUAUUACAAAAGCUUUGUAUUUCAGUUAUAUAAUUAACUGGAAAUUAUAAAUUUUGCUUUUCUAAACAACUUAUAGAUCUCAUUACAUGUUUUUUGUGUUUUUUUCAACAUGAACUUAGUGUUAAAUUGUAUUUGUACAAAAAUGAUGUUAUCUCAGUACAAUGACACAUACAAUGAUACAUUUGCUAAUUUUCAAAUUGGAGAUGUGUAUGUAUGUAUAUUCAUUUUGACUGUUAGUGAGACUAAAACAUGUUAUACUAAAAUCUUUUAAAAUAUAUUGACGGAUGUGGACAUUUUGGUUGUUAGGCGUCAAAAAAAUUAUAGAAUUUUACCAGUCCCAGCCUUUUGUAUUCAUGAAUCUAGUGUUAGUAAAUAAUUAAUGUAUUUAUACAGAUGAUUGUGACGAAAAUUCUUAUGAAUUGACUACUUUAUUUGUUAAUAAUAAAUUAUAUUAUUACAACUGUAAUUCAAAAAUAUGGCUUCUGAACUGUCCCUUCUGGGUUAUAAUUUAGAGAAUUUAACAAUUUCUGUUCAUGUAUAUCAAAUUCACUAUUAAUUAAUUGUCUAAUACUUUUUUUGUGGAUUUUUGUUAAUAUUAUUAUAAGGUUAGAGUUUCUACAAACCAGACCCUCCCUCCCCCACCAGCAGGAUAACGAAAAUAGUUGUUUUAACUCAUCUAAAGAAAGAGAGAGAGAGAGUGUGUGUUUGUGUUUUAUGUGAGUUGUAAAAGAAAAAGAGAUAUACAUAUCUCAGAUAUCUCAAGUGCGGAGAGGCCUUAUUUCAAUUUCUAAAAUCACAUCUCCCUUAGAUGUUUUAAGAUUAAGGUGACACGGUUUAGAAGAAUUGUAUGGUUAGUUCAUAGUUCAAUUUUCUUUUGAGUCUAAUAUGUGCUUUGUUUCAAUUUAAAUUUGCAGAGUAAUUGAUGGGCAAAAAGAGCUGUCAAAAUAUUACUAUUGUGUAAUGGUUUUGGCUAAAAAUCAUUAGGUGGCAAAAUAAAUAUUUAUGUAAGAAUAUGUCAGUCUGUUGAUUCCACCUGAACCACUGUUUCAUGUGAUAUAUGUACUGAUUUCAGAUGCUAAACGAUGUCUAUUCAUCUAUUGUAUACCUUGAAACAUCAGUAUAUUAAGUAAGUAUGGUAUUGAAUCUAAGAGGAGCCAAGAGACUUAAUUCAACAAUAAGAGGUUUUGGAAAACAGAGUGGCAGGGAUUGGUCACUGUUGCGUACAAAGUUAAAGAGAUAUAAGUAAGUGUAUCAAUCCGCAGACUUUGUAAAACAGCAUCACUUAAAAUAAAACACAUUUUCAUUUUCGGUCAGACUGAGGGAACAGCAGUAAACAAUACUUAAAUGAUCAAUGACUUCUUUGUCAGAGCUUGGAAACAUUGAGUUAACAAGAUUAACAUCUGUCCCAAAUCUUCGGAUGAUUGUUUUGUAAUUUCAUGUGGACUCACUCAUCAGAAAAGUAGUAAAAGAUCUCUAGUUAGCAAUGCUUGGACCAUGAAUGUCACCUUCAAUUGUUCUUUUGAUUGUAGAGAGAAAUACUUUUCAGAUUGAUGAAGGAUUAAACAGGAUAAAAUGUAUUGUGUUAAAUACAAUAAAGUGAUUUUAA